GACGAACGCUGGCGGCGUGCUUAACACAUGCAAGUCGAACGCUGAACCCACUUCGGUGGGGGUUGAGUGGCGAACGGGUGCGUAACACGUGGGCAACCUGCCCCCGGCUCUGGGAUAACUCCAAGAAAUUGGGGCUAAUACCGGAUGUGACCGCUGGCCGCAUGGUCUGGUGGUGGUAAGGGUUUCCGGCUGGGGAUGGGCCCGCGGCCUAUCAGCUUGUUGGUUGGGUAGUGGCCUACCAAGGCGCAGACGGGUAGCCGGCCUGGGAGGGUGACCGGCCACACUGGGACUGAGAGAGGGACCAGAAUCGUACGGGAGGCAGAAGGGGGGAGUAUUGCGCAAUGGGGGGAAGCCUGAGGCAGAGACGCCGCGUGGGGGAUGACGGCCUUCGGGUUGUAAACAUCUUUCAGCAGGGACGAAGAGCAAGUGACGGUACCUGAAGAAGAAGCACCGGCCAACUACGUG
rnacentral:rRNA from 1 species